rnacentral:rRNA from 1 species
AUGGCGCUCCUCUUCCUGGUGCUGGUCGGUGUUUUCGUCGGCGUGGUGCUGGCGAGCAGCCUCCUGCUGCGGUGGAACGAGGUCAGGUACGGCAACGGACCGAGGAAGGAGGGCGGGUGCUUGCCCCCGGGGAGAAUGGGGUGGCCGCUCUUGGGCGAGACCACCGACUUCCUCAAGCAGGGGCCCAGCUUCAUGAAGCAGAGAAGGCUCAGAACUCAACCGGAGAUGGAUGCCGGUCGCUGUUGCUGGGUCGAGAUGGAUGUUGCCGCCGGCGACGGCGUGGCCAGCUUUUGGAGGAGGAGGAGGAGCAUCAUUCUAGCUGCUUUGUCCCCCAAAACCUCACAUAACAACACGCCUCAUCACUGCCCCAGCUCCCAAAGGGAGGCUGUUCCGGACGCACAUCUUGGGCUGCCCGACGGUGGUGUCCAUGGACCCCGAGCUCAACCGCCGCAUGCUGCUGAGGGCGAGGCCGGCGGCCUGGUCCCGGGCUACCCGCAGUCCAUGCUCGACAUCCUCGGCCGCAACAACAUCGCCGCCGUGCACGGCCCGCUGCACCGCCACAUGCGCGGCGCAAUGCUCGGCCUCGUCGGCCCCGUCGCGCGCCGGCAAAGCCUCCUCCCCAAGAUCGACGCCUUCAUGCGCUCACAUACCUCCGGCUGGGCAGGCAGCGUCGUCGACGUCCAGGCCAAGACCAAGGAGAUGGCCUUGCUAUCUACACUCAGGCAGAUCGCCGGCAUCACGGCCGGCCCACUCUCCGACGCCCUCAAGGCAGAGCUGUAUACCCUUGUGCUCGGCACCAUCUCCUUGCCCAUCAACCUCCCAGGGACCAGCUACUACCAAGGCUUUCAGGCAAGGAAGAAGCUCGUGUCCAUUCUAGAGCAGAUGAUCACGGAACGGCGAUCCUCUGGUGAUGCUCAUGAUGACAUGUUGGAUGUUCUCUUGAGAAGCGGCGAUGACGGGACCAGGGAUAAGAUUAGCGACGAGCAGAUCAUUGACUUGCUCAUCGCCCUCAUCUACUCCGGAUACGAAACCAUGUCGACCACUUCGAUGAUGGCCGUCAAGUACCUAUCGGAACAUCCGCUGGCCCUCGAAGAACUUAGGAGAGAGCAUCUUGAUAUCAGGAAGGGAAAAUCGCCGGAUGAAGCCAUCAACUACGAUGAUUUCAAGUCCAUGGCCUUCACUCCAGCUGUCAUUUUUGAGACGCUAAGAUUAGCCACUGUUGUUAAUGGACUGCUGAGGAAAACUACAAAGGAUGUAGAAAUGAAUGGCUGGAGAAUCUAUGUUUACACAAGGGAGAUAAACUAUGAUCCGUUCAUGUAUCCUGACCUGAUGACCUUCAAUCCGUGGAGAUGGCUGGAGAAGAACAUGGAAUUGCACCCGCACUUCAUGUUGUUCGGAGGGGGCGGCCGGAUGUGCCCCGGGAAGGAGGUGGGAACUGUGGAGAUCACGACUUUCCUCCACUAUUUCGUGACCCGAUAUAGAUGGGAGGAAGAAGGCAAGAACACAAUCUUGAAAUUUCCCCGGGUGGAAGCUCCCAACGGCUGCAUAUCCGAGUUCAAGAUUACUGAACUCUUGCAACAAACAUUUUGCAGAGUUUAG